AUUGAACGCUGGCGGCAGGCCUAACACAUGCAAGUCGAACGAAGUCUUCGGACUUAGUGGCGGACGGGUGAGUAACACGUGGGAACGUGCCUUUAGGUUCGGAAUAACUCAGGGAAACUUGUGCUAAUACCGAAUGUGCCCUUCGGGGGAAAGAUUUAUCGCCUUUAGAGCGGCCCGCGUCUGAUUAGCUAGUUGGUGAGGUAAGGCUCACCAAGGCUACGAUCAGUAGCUGGUCUGAGAGGAUGACCAGCCACAUUGGGACUGAGACACGGCCCAAACUCCUACGGGAGGCAGCAGUGGGGAAUCUUGCGCAAUGGGCGAAAGCCUGACGCAGCCAUGCCGCGUGGAUGAUGAAGGUCUUAGGAUUGUAAAAUCCUUUCACCGGUGAAGAUAAUGACUGUAGCCGGAGAAGAAGCCCCGGCUAACUUCGUGCCAGCCGCCGCAGUAACAC
rnacentral:rRNA from 1 species